GAAGUAGGCUCCACGCUCUGCACUGCCAGCACAGAGCCCAACGUGAGGCUCGAAUCCAGGAACCAUGAGAUAAUGACCGGAGGUGAAGUCCCAUGAGUAAACAAUUGAGUGACUCAGGUAACCCUACUCUUUUUUUUUUUUUUUAAAUUGUUCUGUCUUCUUGGCUAAUUCUAGCUUUUUGGCUUUACACUAGAUAGCACUGUUCAGUUAUCACUACCCACCCCCGAACUUCGAAAGUAUUUGUCAUUUGAAAGUCAUUAUUAUUAAUAUGCAUGUGUUACAUUUUUACAGUUUUCUAUAGAUUCCAACAGUUUAACUUUGAAAUCAUUUCCUGUGUGUGAUACUUUUUUCUUUAUAUCGAUUAUAAGGACUUUUGUUGGCAGAUGUUUACAUAUCUUUGAAUAUUAAGUGCUACAUCUGAAAUGAAGAAAACAGCUAAGAAUUUUCACACAUAAAUUAUAAUCUUUUAUUUUCCAAAAAUAAUGUUUGUGUGAAAUUUCAUAAUUCUCUGUGAGGGACUACACUAUUGUUCCAUAUGUUAAGCAUGGUUAUUUUUCUAGCCUGUGAGAUCUGCCUCUUUCCUAAAAAUUAAAAAUAAUUUGCAUGACGAUUUAAACAUUUAAGUCCAAGUUUUCUUUUAGAAUAUUCAUUACAACAGGAGAUGGCUAAGUGCUACAUUUGACCAUGCCAAUGAAUAUUUGUUAAAAUUUAGUUUGUCCAUUUGACAUUUGACUAAUUUUAUUUCCAUGCAUAUACUGGAGGAUUAAGUGCACAUGCAUCAGAAAUAAAAAACAAACCAGAAGACUUCCUGAAAUGACAAUUAGUAUUAUUUUACUGUGCUUUUUACUGCAGCCAAUUUUCUGAUGUUGUUCUUUCUCUGUGACAAAAUUACUAAAUACAUAAUGGAAUACAUCAAGAAAACACUUAGAAAUAUUUUAUUUUUUAAAUACAUUUUUCUCCUUCCUUUUUCCAUUUUCUUUUCUUUUCUAUUUUAUUCCAAAGAGUCAAGGUAAGCUGAAUUUUAGACAUAUGAGUCGAACUUUUUAAACAGACCCUGAAAUGAAUAUAUCUAUAUAUAUUACAAAUAAAUAAUAUAUAUGUAUGUGUGUAUAUAUAUAUAUAUAUAUAUACACAGUUUAAGAACUUAAACCCAAUAUUCACUUAUAAUUAUAGACUGAAUUAUUAUAAGUGCAUUUUUUCUAAAAACUGCUAAAUUAUUCCUUACAGUCUUAUUAGUUAUACAGAGCAAAUUUUAUUGCUUUUCAUUCACAGAUGAGGAAAGCAAUGUCACAAUUAUCUUAUUUUCUUCCUCCUAGAGCUAGAAAACUGGCAUACUGUCCCAGAUUUUCUGGCUACAAGUGUGGGGCACCCUCGCUCUAAAGCACACUGCUUCUCUCAUCAAUGUAUAUGUGACUGAAAGACAUGUUGGGGGAGAUUGAAAAUCCAUAGACACAAGACACUGAAUCAUCUUGCUUUUUAAUCUAUUUCUAUUUUUGACUGUUAAGAUCAACUCAGAAUCUCAUCUGAAAUAAAGAUACAAAUAUAUUUUUAUAUCUGGGCUUAUUUUUAGCGCAAAAUGAUGCUGUUGUACAAUAGGUCUCAUCUGACAUAUACAUCAUCUGCUGAAGUAUAUGUGCCGAUAUUUAGCACAAUAACUGAUAUAUAGUCUCCACAGGUGAGUCAGAGAGAAGAACUUUCAUUAGUUUUUAUAAACCGUAACUUUGCCAAAGAAAGGCAAGAUACCAUACAGCUUUAAGCCUAAGGAUUGACUGUCCAAGUACAUGUCUUUAGCUCCCUCAGGUCAAUGUUUUUACAGUGAUCAAUUAAAAUAAUAACAGUAAUAAACAUUUUUAAAUGAGGCAGUUAAUUGCAUAUCUCCAUGUGUAUUACCAAUAAUGGUCUAGAUCCUACAAUGCAUCUAAUUUUUUCAAAAAUGUAGGAUGAUGCUAAUGCUCUCCGUAUCCUACUAAAAAUUCUAUUUAAUUCCUAUCUGAGUCCAAGAAAUAUUUAUGGCAUGUAAGGUGUGGGGUUUUUAGCUAUACUUCUCAAAAUCAUAGGUUCUGGGUGAGUUAAACAUUCUGUUUUGUGGGAUUUUCAUCUUGACACUAUGGUUGCAAAUAAUUUUAUCUUGUUUAUCUCCAUUGUUAAAGGCUCAUUUUGCUGUGUUGUUGAGAACAGACUGGAAGAGGUGAUCGGAAAAGGCAAGAAGACUUCUUUGAAGACUAUUACAGUCAUUCUGGUGAGAGAUGACUACAUGGAUGGAGUGAGAAUUAGUGUUUGGAUCUGUUCUGGUGAAGAUGGGGGAAGGGAAAAGAUCAUAGGCUUAGUUUGGCUCUCCUACUUUGAAAUGCCUACACAUCAAAGGAAGAUUAGUAGGGUGGCAGAUAUAGGGCUACCAUUCAGAAGGGGGACUUGAGACAUGCACAGUUGUGACAUGGGGAGGGUAUGAAGUGCAGGUGACUACAUAGAAAAGAAAGAGCAAAGACUGAGUGAGUCCUAAUCCUAGCCUAGUCCUUAACUCUAGCCCUAGUCUUUUUUUUUUUUUUUUUUAAUGUUUCUUUAUUUUGAGAGAGAGAGAGAGAGACAACAGAAUAUGAGCAGGGGAGGGGCAGAGAGAGAGGGAGACAUAGAAUCCGAAGCAGGUUCCAGGCUCUGAGCUGUCAGCACAGAGCCAGAUGCAGGGCUCAAAACCACAGGCUGUGAGAUCAUAACCUGAGCCAAAGUCGGAUGCUCAACCGACUGAGCCACCCAGGUGCCCCAACUCUAGCCUUAGUCUUAACUAUCCAAAUGUCUAGAAGUUAGACAUGACAAAAGAUCUUUUCUUUUACGAAACUCUACUCCGUCUCUGCUGAACUUUUUCAUUAAUGCUUGACUUUUCAGCUUUUAAAUUCAUCUUCACAUUGUUCAAUUUUAACAAGAAUCCUGUCAAGUCAAUUUAGUUAGAAUCUCUUGAUAUCUGAUUGCCCCGAUAGCUAACUGGAUUCCUCAUUCUCCACCACCCCUCAAGUCAUGUUUGAUCACCCUGGCUUGCCUUCAGCAAAAAUCCUGUUGGAUUGGUUUAGCCAGAAUCCCCUCACAACUCUGAUGCUUCCUCUUAGUAAUUUUCCAUUCAGUGACUCCCACCCUGCUCUGUGGCUAGAAAUUCCCACUUGCCCAUGUUGUAUUUGGAAUUGAGUGUAAUCUCUCACCUGUAGAAAGAUCCUACUGCAGUGGUCCCUGGGCCUCUUGUGAUACUCUCCUUGAAUAAAGCCUGCUUUACCAUCCCUAUCAAGUGUCAUGAAUAAAUAUAUACAUAUUUUUUAUUUUAGCAGAGGAAGGAGAGAAACCAGCAUAAACACGUAGAAGGAGCACCAGUAAGGCAACAGGAAAGCUGAGAGGUGUGGAGUCCUGCAAGCCUAGUGAAGGUAAUGCAGUGAGUGCUGGUGCGUGUACUU
rnacentral:lncRNA from 1 species